GAUGAACGCUGGCGGCGUGCCUAAUACAUGCAAGUCGAGCGAACAGACGAGGAGCUUGCUCCUCUGACGUUAGCGGCGGACGGGUGAGUAACACGUGGAUAACCUACCUAUAAGACUGGGAUAACUUCGUGAAACCGGAGCUAAUACCGGAUAAUAUAUUGAACCGCAUGGUUCAAUAGUGAAAGACGGUUUUGCUGUCACUUAUAGAUGGAUCCGCGCCGCAUUAGCUAGUUGGUAAGGUAACGGCUUACCAAGGCAACGAUGCGUAGCCGACCUGAGAGGGUGAUCGGCCACACUGGAACUGAGACACGGUCCAGACUCCUACGGGAGGCAGCAGUAGGGAAUCUUCCGCAAUGGGCGAAAGCCUGACGGAGCCACGCCGCGUGAGUGAUGAAGGUCUUCGGAUCGUAAAACUCUGUUAUUAGGGAAGAACAAAUGUGUAAGUAACUAUGCACGUCUUGACGGUACCUAAUCAGAAAGCCACGGCUAACUACGUG
rnacentral:rRNA from 1 species